AGUGAACGCUGGCGGUAGGCCUAACACAUGCAAGUCGAACGGCAGCACAGUAAGAGCUUGCUCUUACGGGUGGCGAGUGGCGGACGGGUGAGGAAUACAUCGGAAUCUACUUUUUCGUGGGGGAUAACGUAGGGAAACUUACGCUAAUACCGCAUACGACCUACGGGUGAAAGCAGGGGAUCUUCGGACCUUGCGCGAUUGAAUGAGCCGAUGUCGGAUUAGCUAGUUGGCGGGGUAAAGGCCCACCAAGGCGACGAUCCGUAGCUGGUCUGAGAGGAUGACCGGCAAAACGGAACUUGGAAACGGGCCAGACUCCUACGGGAGGCAGCAGUGGGGAAUAUUGGACAAUGGGCGCAAGCCUGAUCCAGCCAUACCGCGUGGGUGAAGAAGGCCUUCGGGUUGUAAAGCCCUUUUGUUGGGAAAGAAAAGCAGCAGGUUAAUACCCCGCUGUUCUGACGGUACCCAAAGAAUAAGCACCGGCUAACUUCGUG
rnacentral:rRNA from 1 species